AUUUUUCUAGUACUAAGUAAGUAUAAGUGACUUCCAAUCACCUGGUCUUGGUUAAAAUCCAAGGAAAAAUA
rnacentral:tRNA from 1 species